GAUGAACGCUGGCGGCGUGCCUAAUACAUGCAAGUCGAGCGAACAGACGAGGAGCUUGUUCCUCUGACGUUAGCGGCGGACGGGUGAGUAACACGUGGAUAACCUACCUAUAAGACUGGGAUAACUUCGGGAAACCGGAGCUAAUACCGGAUAAUAUAUUGAACCGCAUGGUUCAAUAGUGAAAGACGGUUUUGCUGUCACUUAUAGAUGGAUCCGCGCCGCAUUAGCUAGUUGGUAAGGUAACGGCUUACCAAGGCGACGAUGCGUAGCCGACCGGAGAGGGUGAUCGCCCACACGGGAACUGAGACACGGUCCAGACUCCUACGGGAGGCAGCAGUAGGGAAUCUUCCGCAAUGGGCGAAAGCCUGACGGAGCAACGCCGCGUGAGUGAUGAAGGUCUUCGGAUCGUAAAACUCUGUUAUUAGGGAAGAACAAAUGUGUAAGUAACUAUGCACGUCUUGACGGUACCUAAUCAGAAAGCCACGGCUAACUACGUG
rnacentral:rRNA from 1 species